GUCUCUUCUUGAAAGACAUGGGUAGUGAGAUGUUUAAUUAAUAAAUUUUGUCUCACUACCUUGUCUUUCAUGUAGCGAU